CUCGCAUGACGAUUAAUGAGCGACUUGAUAAUUUAAUAUCGCGUGUGAUUAAAUUAUAAGGCGUGGGGGAGGGGAGCUCUGAGCUCCCUCGCCCGUCAGGGCCGACGCCGCCAAGCCUCCGGGUCUCCGCUGAGUGCGGACCGCGCUCUUCCUUCGCUCAGUGCCUGGCAGGCUCGGCAAGCGGCGGGUCCGCGCCUUCCCAAGGCACAUGGAUGCCCAGCUGGACUACAUUUCCCAGUCUCCCUUGCAGUUGUGUAAACUCUUGUGACUAAGUUUUCACCAGUGGAAUGCAAGCAGAAGUGAUGGGAGUAAUUGUCAUCUCAUACUUGCACCUUCCUGUUCCUUCUUACUGGCUGGAAUGAUGCUAAUGGAAGCCACAUAUGGAGGAUGACAAAACUCGCCCAAUGACCUGGAGGAUGACAAAACUCGCCCAAAGACCUGGGUUCACAAAAUGACUCCCUAGAGCAGAGUCUGCACUUUCACCUUGAACUGUUAUAUGGAGGGAAAUAAAUGUCUAUUUUGUUUGAAAAACUGCA